rnacentral:rRNA from 1 species
GUUGUCUUCGCCAAGACGUCCCACGAGGCAUGGACUAUUCUUGAGCGCUCGUUUGCGGCACAGUCGCAGGCUCGUGUAUCUGGGCUCCGUCACCAACUUGGGGAGUGUCAGAAGCUUGACUCCACCGCCACUGAGUUCUACAACAAAGUCAAGAGUCUCGCCGACACGCUGGCCUCCAUUGGACAGCCCCUCACCGACUCCGAGUUCAACUCGUUUAUUGUCAAUGGUCUUGAUGAGGAGUAUGACGCCCUAGUCGAGAUCAUCAAUGAGAGAGGCAACUCCACGCCCAUGCCAGCACACGAGGUCUUUUCACGCCUCCUGCUUACUGAGCAACGAGUCGAGACGCGCCGAUCCAGGGGCAACGGCGCCCUCUCAGCAAACGCCGCCACCAAGGGUGGUCGCUCCUCUGCUUCAUCCAGGGCUCCUUCGGGGCAGUCACCACCACCCGCCUCGGCCCCUCCUCCUACUGCGACGCUACCAGGGGCUGGUGGUCCACGUGUGUGCCAGCUUUGUGGUCGCGAUGGGCACUGGGCCUCGAAGUGUCACAAGCGCUUCCAGCGGGGUUUUCUUGGUCUCGGCAAUGACGGGAAG